rnacentral:tRNA from 1 species
GGCUAUAGCUCAGCGGUAGAGAGCUCAUCUAGCACGAGCGGGGCCCUGGGUUCGAUCCUCAGCGCCA